UCCUACGGGAGGCAGCAGUGAGGAAUAUUGGUCAAUGGUCGGGAGACUGAACCAGCCAAGCCGCGUGAGGGAUGAAGGUACAGAGUAUCGUAAACCUCUUUUGUCAGGGAACAAAGGCGGGGGCGUGUCCCCGGAUGAGUGUACCUGAAGAAAAAGCAUCGGCUAACUCCGUGCCAGCAGCCGCGGUAAUACGGAGGAUGCGAGCGUUAUCCGGAUUUAUUGGGUUUAAAGGGUGCGCAGGCGGUCUGUUAAGUCAGCGGUCAAAGCCCGGGGCUCAACCCCGGCCCGCCGUUGAAACUGGCAGG
rnacentral:rRNA from 1 species